GAUUCCACGACAGAGUGAUAAUACCUCACCUCUGCCUCCUGAACAACUCGGCCUGGUUUCAGCCUGUGAAAAUGAUGCCAGUCCUGGAAGAUGCCUAGUGACAUUGCGGAGGGAUGACCUGCUCCCAACCAAGGAUUCUUUUCUUCCAGGAUGAUGUCCUCCGUCAUAGGUUAUGAGAUGUGCCCUAUAACCAUUUAUGCCAACAGGACUGGUUCAUUGAAAUAUAUGGGCACCAGUUUUAACUGUUUUGGUGCAUUGUGUUAGAAAGUAGCAGCAAUUGAAUCAUUGUCGCUUGAUUUCUGUCCCUUCGUUUUUCAUGCCUGUCAGCAAGCAAAAGUGGGACAAAUAUUUCAAGAAAAUGAAGUUUACUUCUCUAAUGUCAAAGUCAGGGUGGGGCAGUCCAGAGCUGGUGUGUGGCUGCUGUGUUUCAUGAAGUCUUCAAUGACCCACACUCUUCUCGUCUCAAUGCUCUACCAUCUCCAGGGUGUUACCUUCCAUCUUUGCAACAAGUCCAGAGAGAUGAUGUUUCAGGUCCCCCAAAGUUUCUGAUUUUUCUGAUCAGGACAAUGAGGCACACUAGAUCAAGCCAAGAUGACUAGAGUAUCAUUCCAUGUCAAUACAGGAUUAAGAAGUCACGCCUGUUUCACGGAAAGGGAAUGGAAAGAAAGGGUCAAAGUUGGAAAAUGUUCAAGAGGAGAGAAUUCACAUUUUAUUGAAACCUCAUGGGUGGCUGCUAUGGCACUUGUGGCCAAAUGUGACCCUUACAUUGUACUCUUGUUAAAAUGAGGCCUCAUUCCAUGAAAAACUGUUCCUCAAACUGUCCCAUGGAGUAUUUGUGGUCAGCAUAUAUGAAUACCAUUCUAUAGAACAACUGUUCUUUGACCAGAAAAUAAAAAUUAAGAAAUACUACAAACCACACGAUUUCUGCAUGUAUUAGUCAGGGUUCUCUAGAGGGACAGGACUAAUAGGAUAGGUGUCUAUAUGAAAGGGAGUUUAUUACGAAGAAUUGACUCACACAAUCACAAGGUGAAGUCCCACAACAGGCUGUCUGCAAGCUGAGGAACAAGGAAGCCAGUGGUGGAUCAGUCAGAGUCCCAAAACAUCAAAAGUAGGGAAGGCGACAGUGCACUUAAGUGCCCACUGGACCAUGCUGGUUCUGUCACCUGCAAUUAUAGGAAAACCUCCUCUUCUCCUUUUCUCUUCUUGAAUUUGUUAGCUCACUCAAUGGCGACAUUACCCCCAAUCUCCCAAGCCAGGGGCUCAACUCCCUAUCAGGAUGGUAAAGUAUAGCACAGAGGCAAGGGCUCAGAAAGACUUGAAACCUGGGUUCAAUCUUCACCCCUCAAUGACGCUUUCU
rnacentral:lncRNA from 1 species